GCAGCCGUGGCCGAGCGGUUAAGGCGACAGACUAGAAAUCUGUUGGGGUCUCCCCGCACAGGUUCGAAUCCUGUCGGCUGCG
rnacentral:tRNA from 2 species